CAAGGCAACCCACAAGAAAGGAGGGGAAUAAAACAACCCUGGACCCACUCCAGGACCCAGGAAUAUACAGAAUUAAUAUUAAAGUAUAAAGAACAAAUCUAAGUACAUGAGAACUCGUGUAGGAAAGAACAGCAAAACCCUUACUAGCAAAGGGGAUAAUAUCUGUAAUUCCAAGUGACAAUAAUACAACAAGCAAGAGAAUAAAAUGUACUUAGCUGGUCUGAGGGAGCAGCGAUGAAAGAGGGGGAGGAAGAGAGUGCUACACCUUAUAUACUGAAAGGGGG